rnacentral:tRNA from 1 species
CGGGGAGUGGCGCAGUCCGGUAGCGCGCCUGCUUUGGGAGCAGGAGGUCGCAGGUUCGAAUCCUGUCUCCCCGACCA